rnacentral:rRNA from 1 species
GUGGGGAAUUUUGGACAAUGGGCGCAAGCCUGAUCCAGCAAUGCCGCGUGCAGGAAGAAGGCCUUCGGGUUGUAAACUGCUUUUGUACGGAACGAAACGGUCCUGGCUAAUAUCCGGGGCUAAUGACGGUACCGUAAGAAUAAGCACCGGCUAACUACGUGCGAGCAGCCGCGGUAAUACGUAGGGUGCGAGCGUUAAUCGGAAUUACUGGGCGUAAAGCGUGCGCAGGCGGUGCUGUAAGACAGGCGUGAAAUCCCCGGGCUCAACCUGGGAGUUGCGCUUGUGACUGCAGUGCUGGAGUGCGGCAGAGGGGGAUGGAAUUCCGCGUGUAGCAGUGAAAUGCGUAGAUAUGCGGAGGAACACCGAUGGCGAAGGCAAUCCCCUGGGCCUGCACUGACGCUCAUGCACGAAAGCGUGGGGAGCAAACAGGAUUAGAUACCCCGGUAGUCC